GGGCUUAUAACUCAGCGGUAGAGUAAACGCUUGAUAAGCGUUAAGUCGAUAGUUCAAAUCUAUCUAAGCCCA
rnacentral:tRNA from 1 species